GAUGAAGAACGCAGCAAAAUGCGAUAAGUAAUGUGAAUUGCAGAAUUCAGUGAAUCAUCGAAUCUUUGAACGCACAUUGCGCCCGCUGGUAUUCCGGCGGGCAUGCCUGUUCGAGCGUCAUUUCAACCCUCGAGCCCCCGGGUUUGGUGUUGGGGAUCGGCUCUGCCCUUCUGGGCGGUGCCGCCCCCGAAAUACAUUGGCGGUCUCGCUGCAGCCUCCAUUGCGUAGUAGCUAACACCUCGCAACUGGAACGCGGCGCGGCCAUGCCGUAAAACCCCAACUUCUGAAUGUUGACCUCGGAUCAGGUAGGAAUACCCGCUGAACUUAAGCAUAUCAAUAAGCGGAGGA
rnacentral:misc_RNA from 1 species